UACGUAGGUGGCAAGCGUUGUCCGGAUUUACUGGGGCGUAAAGGGCGUGCAGGCGGUCUGCUAAGUCUAGGGUGAAAGCUCCCGGCUCAACUGGGAGAGGUCCUUGGAUACUGGCGGACUUGAGGGAGGUAGAGGAGAGUGGAAUUCCCGGUGUAGUGGUGAUAUGCGUAGAUAUCGGGGAGGAACACCAGUGGCGAAGGCGGCUCUCUGGCCCGGAACUGACGCUGAGACGCGAAAGCGUGGGGGAGCAAACAGG
rnacentral:rRNA from 1 species